rnacentral:lncRNA from 1 species
AGUUAACACACUUCAGUGCUAUGAGCCUUCAGGACUGCACCAGAGUCAACAUAGCCUUUGUAUGAUGGCAGAUUGGUUCUUUAUUUCAUUUGUGGCUGGAGACAAAGACAAUGAGUCCAUUGGUGAAACUGGAUUGCUGAAGUCACCUAAUAGUUAUUAAUAUGCUGAGUUAAUCUUGUAUGCUGACACUUUGGAAGCAACCUAGAUGCCUCUCAGAUGAAAAAUAGAUGGAGAAAAUGUGGUACAUUUACACAAUUGAGUACUACUCAGCAGAAAGAAACAAUGGAAUCUUGAAAUUCACAGGCAAAUGGAUGGAAUUAGAAGAAAUCAUUCUGAGUGAGAGACUUUAGCAAAUUUCCAUUACAAGAACUGGAGAGAAGUACAGAUAAUCUUUACAUCUGAUUGAAAACGGGCUUCCUGGUUCUUGAUUUCCACGUUUAAUGGUUCAGUCAAUGAAAACAGUCUCUUCGUUCUGCUUGGUGUAGAGACUUUCCGACUUCAGCAGUUCAUUUUAGCAUACUGUCCCCCUGGUCCAACCUGGCCUCAUUCCUCACUGACAUCUCAGAACUGUCUCCUAUGUAUGGCCCAUUUUGGAAGCUUGUAGUAAUGCUAUGUGGACAGGACAAAGAUGAGGAGAAUUGGAAGAACCAUGACAGAAAGCAUCAUGAGCUCAUGGCUCUUCUUUUGGUGGCAGACAGAUUAAAGGAUGUGGAAGAAGGAAGCAUUUGCAUUUUGCUUGCUUGUCCUCACUCUCAGUGGCAAGUCCAUCUAUGCUGUUUACUGAGGCAUUCCUUCACUAGUAUCUCUUAUCUCUAUCUAUCUCUCUGGAAUUCCAUUGCAAACUGAAGACCAGUAGUUCUCUAGGAAUCCUCUGGGACUCCAGCAUCAGACUGUCACUUCUGAGACAUCCAGUGUUGUGAAUUGAACAGCUAUCAGAUUCUUGACCUUCCCAUGGGGAGACAGCUAUUGUAGACUCCCCAGAUCAUAGCCUGUAAGCCAUUAAAAAAACAUAUAAAACAGAAAUAUAUUUGUGUGUUAUAUAUUAAUUUUUGGCAACUAAUAACUCCCAUGUAUACACAUAGAUAGAUAGAUAGAUAGAUAGAUAGAUAGAUAGAUAGAUAGAUACAGAGAAUUUACUAAGUGGCUUACAGGCUC